rnacentral:rRNA from 1 species
AUUGAACGCUGGCGGCAUGCCUUACACAUGCAAGUCGAACGGCAGCGGACCUUCGGGUGCCGGCGAGUGGCGAACGGGUGAGUAAUAUAUCGGAACGUACCUUUCAGUGGGGGAUAACGUAGCGAAAGUUACGCUAAUACCGCAUAUUCUGUGAGCAGGAAAGCAGGGGAUCGCAAGACCUUGCGCUGAUUGAGCGGCCGAUAUCAGAUUAGCUAGUUGGUGAGGUAAAGGCUCACCAAGGCGACGAUCUGUAGCGGGUCUGGGAGGAUGAUCCGCCACACUGGAACUGAGACACGGUCCAGACUCCUACGGGAGGCAGCAGUGGGGAAGUUUGGACAAUGGGCGCAAGCCUGAUCCAGCAAUGCCGCGUGCAGGAUGAAGGCCU